AUGGUGGAAACGACACAGGCAAUUUCCAAGUAUUGGCUGAUGGCUGCACAAGCGAACUGCAGAACUGCUAACCAAGCACAGCGAUCCAGUGCUCGAAGCUGCUGCUCGUCGUGUCCAGUGCUAUCCGAUGUACCGAUGUAUAAUGGCAAUGCAACUAAUGCACGUAUGGCGUAGUGGCAGAGAACAUGUAUGUACAUAUGCAAUCGUGAUGACAAAUGCAAGUGACAAAUAUUCUCGUUUGUGUGUAUGAGGAUUGUACGAUGUUAUUGCUGGCCACGCAACAGGUGCGUUUGCAGCGUAUUGGCAGAAAAACAAAUACAAGCUGGUGGUGGUGUUUUGUAGUUGCUGGCUGCACAAUGGAUCCAGUGAGAUGCAGCAUUCCAAAUCCAGGUAUUCGUUGCCAGGCACAAUACCACAGUCGGUCGGUCGUAGUCAUCAUUGAAGGAGCCGCCAUAGCACCAAGAGGCGUAUGGGGCAUAAUGUUGGAAACGACGCAGGCGAUUUCCAUGUAUUGGCAGAAUGACAACUCCCAGUGAACUGCAAUAUCGCUAACCAUGCACAGCGAUCCAGGGCCCGAAGCUGCUGCUCGUCGUAUCCAGUGCUAUCCGAUGUACCGAUGUAUAAUGGCAAUGCAACUGAUGCACGUAUGGCGUAGUGGCAGAGAACAUGUAUGUACGUAUGCAAUCGUGAUGACAAAUGCAGGUGACAAAUGUUCUCGUUUGUGUGUAUGAGGGUUGUACGAUGUAUGCUGGCUACGCAACAGGUGCGUUUGCAGCGUAUUGGCAGAAAACACAUAUUACUGGCUGGUGAUGAUGUUUUGUAGUUGCUGGCAGCACAAAGAAUCCAGUGAGAUGCAGCAUUCCAAAUCCAGGUAUUCGUUGCCAGGCGCAAUACCACAGUCGGUCGGUCGUAGUCAUCAUUAAAGAUAGCCGCCAUAGCACCAAGUGGCGUAUGGGGCAUAAUGUUGGAAACGACGCAGGCGAUUUCCAUGUAUUGGCAGAAUGACAACUCCCAGUGAACUGCAAUAUCGCUAACCAUGCACAGCGAUCUAGGGCCCGUAGCUGCUGCUCGAGUGUCCAGUGCUAACCGAUGUAUAAUGGCAAUGCAACUGAUGCACGUAUGGCGUAGUGGCAGAGAACAUGUAUGUACGUAUGCAAUCGUGAUAACAAGUGCAAGUGACAAAUAUUCUCGUUUGUGUGUAUGAGGAUUGUACGAUGUUUUGCUGGCCACGCAACAGGUGCGUUUUCAGCGUAUUGGCAGAGAAAACAUAUGUAAUUCUGGCUGGUGAUGUUGUUUUGUAGUUGCUGGCUGCACAAAGGAUCCAGAGAGAUGCAGUAUUCCAAGUCCAGGUAUUCGUUGCCAGGCGCAACACCACAGUCGGUCGGUCGUAGUCAUCAUUAAAGAUAGCCGCCAUAGCACCAAGUGGCGUAUGGGGCAUAAUGUUGGAAACGACGCAGGCGAUUUCCAUGUAUUGGCAGAAUGACAACUCCCAGUGAACUGCAAUAUCGCUAACCAUGCACAGCGAUCCAGGGCCCGUAGCUGCUGCUCGUCGUGUCCAGUGCUAUCCGAUGUACCGAUGUAUAAUGGCAAUGCAACUGAUGCACGUAUGGCGUAGUGGCAGAGAACAUGUGUGUACGUAUGCAAUCGUGAUGACAAAUGCAAGUGACAAAUGUUCUCGUUUGUGUAUAUGAGGAUUGUACGAUGUUUUGCUGGCCACACAACAGUUCUGGCUGGUGAUUUUGUUUUGUAGUUGCUGGCUGCACAAGGAUCCAGUGAGAUGCAGCAUUCCAAAUCCAGGUAUUCGUUGCAGGCGCAACACCACAGUCGGCAGGUCGUAGUCAUCGUUGGAAGGAGCCACCAUAGCACCAAGAGGCGUAUGGGGCAUAAAGUUGGAAAAGACGCGGGCAAUUUCCAUGUAUUGGCAGAAUGACAACUCCCAGCGAACUGCAGAAACGCUGACCAAGCGCAACGAACAAGGGUAAGCCUGCUGCCGCUCGUCGAGGUCGAUGGUGCCGAUGUCUGCUGGCCAUGCAACGAGUGCACUUGAGGCAUAUUGGCAGAGGACAACAAUUCUGGCUGGUGGUGAAUCUCAUAUAGAGCAUGCACUAUGGCAGCUCGUCGAGUUAAUGGCUGCCGGUUCAUUUGUAGUAACUGGCUGAUGAUUGGACAAAACAGGUGUAUGCUGGUCACGCAACGGGUGCGCUUUCAGCGAAUUGACAGAGGACGAUAUUUGCUGGCUGCGUGAAGGAUCCAGUGAGAAGCAGCAUAUCCAAGUCCAAGUAUUUGCCGCCGGGCGCGACACCACAGUCGGCCGGUCACAGUCAUCGUUAAGGAGAGCCGCCAUAGCGCAAAGGCGUAUGGGGCAUAAUGUUGGAAACGACGCAGGCGAUUUCCAAGUAUUGGCUGAUGACGGUUCUAGCAGACUGCAAGAUCGCUAACCAAGCAAAGCGAUUCAAGGGCCUGCCGCCGCUGCUCGUCCAGAUAUAUGCAGCCGGAUG